CACUUUCUGGGCAGUUUUGAGUACCUAACACUAAUUUGGACGAAAUUGGACUAAAACUUGACUCAAGACACUUAGAAACACAAACUAAAUUGAUUUCUAACUAAUCUAACACUUUAAAAUAAAUGGGGGAUUGAUUUUGACGAAAUUGAAAUUAAAACAGAGACUUGUAAACAAACUUCAAACAAAACAGAUUGUGAUGAAAUAGAAUGGUGAGAAACUAGUUAGAGGGUUCCUUAUCCACACAUGAACAUAUGCAUAUAAUUUGAUUCCCAGUUAUGACUUCAACAAACAAUGAAUGACAAUGCUCCAAGUUAAUUAGGUUCGCUUAAAUUAACUUUCAGAUUUCCCUAGAUUCAUUGGAUUGAAUGGGAUACGCAUUAAAACCAAAUUAUUCCUCAUCAAAGUCCCUAACUAUGGAAUACGCAUGAUAGAGAUAUUCAACAAAGAUCAUUAAGUUCAACGGAAAUCAUGAACAUCAACUAGGCAUUCAUAACUAUGGAAUACGCAUGUUAAUCCAGCCUAGGGUUUACUUAAACACAAUCGUGACUAGCGAUCUUUACUACUUAUGAAUAUAAGUUCAUAACGAUUAGGUGAAAUUCCCUUAUAUCCUAGCAUCAAGUUUAGGCAUGCAAAUUAAGUGUCGACCCUCAACCCACAUACAUAGACAAGUUCUUAAUCAAAACAGAAAAGUAAACCACAUCUAAAGUUCAUGAAUUCAUAACUGGAGUAAAUCAAAUCAUAACCAACGUAUGUCCAUGGCUUCAAAUUCGCCUCUAACUAAAAAGAAAUUAGUUCCACAUGUUUAACAUAAUUGAAAAGCAAAUUAAAUUAAACAUGAAAACAGAAACAAGAGAGAAAGAACUCCAAACACUCCACUAAUGGCAGAUUGCAUGUGCAAGGUUUCUCCCUCCUUUGGACUGCACGGCACUACUUCUUUCUCCUUCAAUGGUGGCUGCACGAGGUGGUGAUGGUGGUGGAAAGGUGCGGCUGUGGUGGAUGAAUGGUUAUUUGAAUAGGGUAGAAGGGUUAAGGGGAUUAGGGGGCACGGCAGAGACUUAGAACUAGGGAGAAUGAUGUGGUGGUUGCGGCAAGGCUUAGGGUAGAUUUCUGGAGAGAAUGGAUGAUAUGGGAGGUGGUGUUUUUGGCCAAAAGCUUUAAAGGAGUAUAUAUAGGCACUUAAAAACCCUAGCAAUCAGAUUAGGGUUUCUAGAAGCCCACAUCCAACAGAAAAUAGGUUAAAACAAUCAGAUUUUGCAUGGGAAAAGGCCUAGGGUUCGGCUGGUUUAGUGGGCUAAGGUUAAGGCUUCUAGAAUGCCUUGCAAGGCAAGGAAAUCAGGUAUUUAAAACCCUAGGUGUGGCAUAGGAUUAGGGAGAUCAGAUUUGGAAAUGGGCUAGGGUUUAGGUGCGGCAUAUGGUGAAUAUCCACAAAGAAUUAGGGCUUAGGUCCACUUAGUUUUAGACAGGGAUUUGUAUAACUCAAAUCCACAACUAAAGGCCCUAAUAAGUCAGAAAUUAAGAGAGAAUGGCUAGGAAGUGCGGCUCAAGUCCAAGAGGUAAGGAUAGGUCAUCCAAAAGCCCAACGCCAAGAAUAGAACUCACAAAUACGGAAACCUCCAAGAAUAGAAGCUUCCAACAUUAGAAACUUUGGUUUCCAAUUCCGACUUCUUUGUUCUUCACUUUCAUUUCUUCAUUUCUUAAGCUCCUUUGACCUUCAAACUCGUCCAUUCCUUGUGCUCCAAAAGCCUACACUUCAUUCCAGCUCAAUUUUGCUCCAAAUGCUCCGAAUUGCAUCAUUUUUUGUAAUGUGCCCUUUAAACCUGAAAACACAUGAAAGUAGCUCAAAAGACUACUUUAACAAAGAAAACAUAACGAAAAUGCAUAAGAACUAGCUAACUAAGGUGCAUAAAUAUGCUCCUAUCACCGGGGAUUAGGAGGGAUUGCUAAAUCACUUGAAAACUGACUCAAAUACGUAAAAACAAGUUUAAAACACUAAACUAGACUCAAAGAAUGCAAAACUAAACUUUAAAACACCAAAACAAACAAAAAGACUCAAAACAGCAAACAAAUACUCAAAACUGCCUUAAAACACUUUCUGGGCAGUUUCUGACACUCAGGACGAAUUUGGACGAAAAUUGAUUAUAACUUGACUCAAGACACUUAAAAACACAAACUAAAUUGAUUUCUAACUAGUAUGACUCAACAAAGAAAAGGGGGAUUGAUUUUGGACGAAUUUAAAAACAAAACAAAACUUUGUAAACUAAAACAGAUUUUAAAACGAAUUCGGAUGAUUUGAAUGGAUGGAAGGCUAGCUAAGGGGUUCAUCUCCACACAUGUCACAUUUGCAUAUAAAACGAUUUCCAAUUGCUUUUCAAUAAACCAUGAAUUCUCAACGCCCCAAGUUAAUUAGGUCCGCUUAAAUUAACCCUCAGAUUUUCCUUAAGUUAUUGAAUUGGAUGAAUUGCAUACGACAACCCAAAGCAUUCCCCACAAGUCCCCUACAUGAUUGCAUAAUAGAGAUACAAGCAAGAAUCAUUAAGUUCUAUGAAAACCAUAAGCAUUGACGAAGCACUUGUUACUAUGAUUGCAUGAAACUUAUGCCAAUAAUUUACUUAACACGAUUGUGAUCAACAACCUUUACUACUUGUGAAUUUAAGUUCAUAACGAUUAGGUGAAAUUCCCUUAUAUCCUAGCAUCAAAGUCAUGCAUGCAAACUAAGUGUCGACCCUCAAUCAACAUACAAGAAUAAGUUUUAAUUCACAUAGAUAAGCAAAUUGAACUCACAACUUAUGAAACGCAAUUAGAAGUAAUCAAAUCAUAUAGCAAGCAUAAACAUGGUUUCGAAUCCCCCCCUAGCCAAGGGGGUUUAGUUCCUCAUACUCGCAAAUAAACAAAGAUAAAUAAAUUUAAACAUUAAAACAAAGAUAGAAAACACCUAGAAACGCUCCACAAUCCAAGCUCCUUGAAUGGCAUGCACGGCUCCAAGAGUUCUUCCUUCUUCUCCUUUGCAAACUCACGGCACAAGAGGUAUAUUUGGGUGAAUGGUGUAGUGAAAAUAUGGUAGAGGAUGGUGACUAAAUGGUGCAGCAAAGGAUGGUAUUUAUAGGCUGAAAUUCGCAGCCCCUAUGUAGCAAAGGAAAAGGAUUUAAAAGCCUAAUUUGUAUAGGAUAAUAACACACAAUCCUUGAAGGAAAAGGCUAAGGCUUUUAGAAACCAAGGGGGAAAGGAAUAAUCAGGUUUCUAGAAAGGUUUGGGGCGUCACUUUUGUAGGACAAGGGAUAAGGCCUUCUAGAAAGGUUGUUUUGUGGCUGAUUUCUAGAAAAAAACAAGGGAUAAGGUGUGGCACCUUUGUAGGAGUGGAUAAGGGCUUCUAGAAACCAAUUUUAAUGUGUCCUAAUCUGAAAAUAAAUCCCCCAUGCAGCUGGAAUUAAAUUAGGAUAGGAUUAGGAUAGGAUAAGAUAAGAUAGGAUUGGAUAGGAUAGGGUUUGGAUAAUGUUUUGGAUAAGGUUUCUUCACUUGAGCUGAUUCUUUGGCUUCAACUUCCCUUCUUCAUGUAGGAAACCUUGUUUGAGUAGGAAACUUCAAUCUUCUAGGAAUCCAACUUCAACUAGGAAUCCAUCUUCAACUAGGAUUUCAUCUUCAAUUAAGCACUUUCCCACUUCAAUUAGGAAUCUUUGUAUCUUCAAUUCUUCAACUUCAAAACACAUUCCUAGCUUCAUCAAUCCUUCAAAUUCGUCCAUCCCUUGUGCUUCAUGUGCAUGAACUCCAUUCUAGCCCAAUUUUGCUCCAAAAUGCUCCAAAUUGCAUCCUUUUGCUCACUUUGUCUCUAAAACCUGAAAACACAUGAAAAUAGCUUAAAAGACUACUUUAACUAAGAAAACACAACAUAAAUGCAUAAGAACUAGCUAACUCAGGUGCAUAAAUAUGCUCCUAUCACUUUGACAUAGUCAAAGAUCAAGGGCCUAACCACAAGACAACUAUGAUGCCUUAGGUCAAAGGACUACUUUGCAUUAUCCUAACCAUGAGUUCUCAUGUGACAUGAGUAUGAGAACUCCUCGUUGAUCGUGUUCAGUGGACUCAUUCUCCAUUGAGCACCUACAUGCUUGUCUUGGUGUCAAUCACACCAAUGACUCGAGACUAGUCACUCUCCCUGAGAGAAACACAGCACGUACUGAUUUUAAUGGACUGUCAAUGCCCAAUUGGCAAUCCUAUGAUCAGGAACGUUUAGGAUAUGUAUACGAAAGAGAAUGGUCUCAUGAAUCUAACUUCUUUAAAUUACAUUCUCCUAAUUACAUAUUCCUUGGACUUAUUGUUUAAGCAUAUAACAUUUAUAUGAGACGGCUUAAAACAAUAAUCUUUGCCCUUGAUAUUAAACUAGAUUAGUUUAACAUGUAAAAUGUCCAUAAAGUAUCAUUAUAUGAUUGGUUUUAGGGCACAUUUCCAACACUAUCCUUUCCCUACAUUCAUGCCGCACCCUUAUCCUUCUAGAACCCUAAAUUGGUGACGUGAUCACCCUUUCUAGAAGACAUUAAAUAUAUGGCGCUUCUUCCUUUUCUAGAAGCCCUAGAAUCUGCUGGAAACCUCAAACCUUUUCAUCUUUGGUUUCUGCCAAACUUAGUCCUUUUCCUCAAGGAUUGUUCAAUCCUAAUCCUUAGGGAUUAUGCUGUGAGUUUGCCCUAUAAAUAUAUAUAUAUGCCGCACAAAUCAAUUAACCAACCCUCCCAAAUCAUUCUAAAAUCCUUUCAGCCCCAGAAACCACCAUUCUAUAACCUGUGCCUCAACUUUGGAGAAGAAGAUAUCCUUGCCGUGCAUUCCGUUGGAGAAGGAGGAACUUGUGCACAUGCCACCUGCAUCCUUGGGAGUUCUAAGAGUUCUUUCUUCCCUCGUUUUAGUUUCAAUGUUUAUUUCAAUUUGCUUUUCAAAUGCUAUGAACAUGUGUAACUAAGUUUUUCUUAGUUAGAGGUGAAUACAAAGCCAUGGAUAUAUGUUUAAUAUGAAUUGAUUCCCUUCAGUUAUUGUUUCAUAAAACAUGAAUGUGAUUUACUUAUCUAUUUGAUUGAUAACUUAUUCUUGUAUGUUGAUUAAGGAUGCAUACUUAGUUUACCUACAUGAAUCUGAUGCUAAAUUAUAAAGGACUUUCACCUAAUCGUUAGGAACUUAUAAUUACAAGUAGUAGAGAUUGUUAGUCACAAUCGUGUUAAGUUGAUUCUUGGCAAGAGUAUCAUGCAGUUCAUAGUUAUAAUUGUCUUGUCAAUGCUUAUGGUUUCCAUGGAACUUAAUGAUCUUCGAAUGUAUCCCUACCAUGCUGUUCAUAUAGGGAACUUGAGAAGAAUAAUUUGGUUGUGAUGCGUUGUCCAUUCAAUUCAAAGAAUUUAGGGAAAUCUGAGAGUUAAUUUGUGCAUUCACGAUUAAUUUGGGGCAUUGUCGUUCAUGGUUUAAAGAAACAAUACAGAAAUUGAUUUAUGUUGCAUAUGUUCAUGUGUGGAGAAGGACCCUCUAACUAGCCUAUUACACCAUUCAAUUCACCCAAUUUCAUAUCUAGUUUACUUUGGUUUGCAAUCUGUUUAGUUUUACUUCAAUUUCGUCAAAACGACCCCCUUUAAAACACCAAAAUUAUGUUGACACUCAAAUUAAACCCUCUUUUUAUCAAUUGUAGCAAUGUAUGUAAGUAGGGAUCGUUCUAGACCGGGGAUUAGGAGGGAUUGCAAAAUCACUUGGACAGGACUCAAAAACGUAAAACAAGUUUUAAACACUAAAAUAGACUCAAAGAAUGCAAAACUAAACUUUAAAACACCAAAACAAACCAAAAGACUCAAAACAGCACCAAAACACUCAAAACUGCCUUAAAAACACAAUCUGGGCAGUUUUGGACACUAAGCACCAAAUUGGACGAAUUUGGGUUUUAACUUGAAUCAAAACACUUAAAAACACAAAGUAAAACACUUACUAACUAAUUUGACACUUUAAAACAAAGGGGGAUUGGUUUUGGACGAAUUUAAAAACAAAACAAACUUUGUAAAUUAGAACAGAUUGAAAGAACGAAUUUGAUUUAAAUGGGUGAAUGGAAGGCUAGCUAAGGGGUUCAUCUCCACACAUGUUAUACUUGCAUACGAAACGAUUUCCAAUUGCUUUUCAAUAAACCAUGAAUUCUCAAUGCCCCAAGUUAAUUAGGUCCGCUUAAAUUAACCUUCAGAUUUUCCUAACGUUAUUGAAUUGGAUGAUUGCAUACGACAACCCAAAACAUUCCCCACAAGUCCCCUACAUGAUUGCAUAAUAGAGAUACAAGCAAGAAUCAUUAAGUUCUAUGAAAACCAUAAGCAUUGACGAAGCACUUGUUACUAUGAUUGCAUGAAACUUAUGCCAAGAAUUUACUUAACGCGAUUGAGAUCAUCAACCUUUACUACUUGUGAAUAUAAUUCCAUAACGAUUAGGUGAAAUUUCCUUAUAUCCUAGCAUUCAAUUUAUGCAUGAUAAUUAAGCGUGCACUCUCAACCAACACACACAAAUCAAUGUAAUCCACAUAGAUAAGUAAAUUGAAUUCACAACUUAUGAAACGCAAUUAGAAGUAAUCAAAUCAUAACGCAAGCAUAAACAUGUAUUCGAAUCCCCCCUAGCCAAGGGGGGGUUUAGUUCCUCAUAUGCACAAAACAAAGAGAAUUGAAUUUAAACAUUGAAAUCAAAGGAAAAGAAACACCUAGAAAUUCCAGCAGCUUCAACUUGAAUUUCAUGAACUCCCAAGCAUUCUUCUCAUCCUCCUUGGUGCGGCAAAGGACUUAGGGACAGGUUUAGGGCCUUAUGGAUGGUGUAGAACGAUUAUGGAUGGAUGUAUGAGUGUUUAGGGAGGAAGGAUGGUGCGGCAAAGGUGUAGAAUGGUGUAGGGAGGCUGCUGCAAGAGUGGAGAGCAGUUUGGACGAAUUUCUGGAGUUGUUUGUGAAUUGUGGUGAGUUGUCUUCUGAUUUAGGGGUUAAUAGGAGUAUAUAUAGGCACUUAAAACCCUAGGGUAAUCAGAUAUGGACUUGGAUAACCCAAAUCCACAAGGAAAUAGGUCUAACAAUCAGAUUUUGCAAGGGAAAAGGGGUCCUAGGUGCGGCUGGAUAGGAAUAAGGUGGAUAAGGCUUCUAGAUGGCCUUGCAAGGCAAGGAAAUCAGGUUUCUAGAAGGGAUAGGUGCGGCACUUAAAGGAUAGGGCAGAUUAGGGCUUCUAGAAACCCUCUAAUGCAAGGAAAACUCACGGCAAGGAUGGAUAAGGUUUCUAGAACAAGGAUAAGGUAUCUUAAAUGGAUAAGGACUCCUCAUUGCAUUUGGAAACUUUGCCUAUUAGGAUUAGGAAACCUUGUCUUUGUCAUUCCUUCUUCAUUCUGGAUUCCUUCUCCUUCUUGGACUUGGAAAUCUUCUUUGUAGCUACAACUUGAUGCCAUUUGGAUUUAACUUUCCUACUUCAAGUAGGAAACCUUGUUUGAGUAGGAAUCUUCAUCCUCAAGGAAUCCUAAUUCAACUAGGAAACCCAUUUUGACUAGGAAUCCUAAUUCAACUAGGAUUCCAUCUUCACUUAGGCGCUUUCCUACUUCGACUAGGAAACCUUGUUCAAGUAGGAAAAAUCAUCUUCAAAUCUUCAAUUUCGUCCAUCCUCUUGGCUCCAAGCAUAUGACAUCCAUUCCAAGCUCAACUUUGCUCCAAAAAGCUCCAAAAUGCAUCCUUUUGCAUACUUUGCCCUUAGAACCUGAAAACACAUAAAACUAGCUUAAAAGACUACUUAACUAAGGAAAAACACUAUAAAUGCACAAGAACGAGCUAAACUAAGGCGCAUAAAUAUGCUCCUAUCAGUUAAUAUAGGUUAGAAUUAGUCCAUAAACAUUGUUUGAGUCUUAAUUAGUCUUAAAUUCGUCCAAAUAACUCCCUAGCGUCUGUUUUGAGUCUAAUUGUUAGUAUGGUGCUGUUUUGAGUCUUUUAAGUGUGUUUUGAGUUACUUAAGUCAUAAUCUGUUUUCUUUUAGUCUUUUGAGUUAAAUUAAGUUUUAUUUUCGUCCAAAUCACUUGUUAGGUCUAGAAUUAAGUCUUUGUAACUUAGUUUUGCUGAUUUGAGUGUUUUAAGUCAGUUUAGAGUCUUUAGAGUCUAGUCUUGUGUUUUUAAGUCUAAUUUAGUGUUUUAAAGUUUAAUUUGCGUGUUCGAUUAUUUCACAUUAAGUGUGUGUGUAACAGAAGUGAGGGAAGAGAGACUGAGAGUGGCUAAAUCCCGCUUAGAAAAAUCUAAAUGAAAAUACCAAUUUACCCCUCCCUGUUUUUGAUCAUUACAAUUAAGCCCUCGAAGCUUCGUUUCGAAAUUCGUUUUCGAUUUCACAUCCACAUACAUGAAUAUAGUCAAGAAAACAUAAGAAAGAAUAAGAAAUUGGAUUGCGAGUCAAGGCUCGAAUAUUACUUAAGGCACCCACUCAGGGUUAAAAUAGUCAUUUCAUACAUCUCGGGAAUAAAAUACAUUAUUUUAAGGUAUGGGAAUACUCUAUGAUACGAUUCAAGAGUCUUUGGACAGAGCACAUGAAUGUGAUUAAGGAGUAUGUCUAAUAGGUGCAUUAUUUCCUAUAUAUUCAUAUAAUUUAUCUUUAUCCUUGGGUUUUGUUAGGUCUUGGUUUUAAAAGUGUCUUAUUAUUUUUCUUUUCUCAAAUUUAGCUAAUCUACGCACUUAGGACACUUUUUAUGAUAAAUCAUCUUUCUGAAGGAUUUUUGAUACAAGGUCAGUUGGAGAAGGAAUGUAUAAGGCUGAAAAGCGUUGUGUCUGAAUUUUCAUAUUUUUCCAUGGAGCUUGCCAAACAUAUUUUAGGUUUGCAAAUCAAUCCUGCGAAAGGUACAUUCUCAUCAGAAUAUGGCUACUGUGGAAGAAUGAAAAUUUCAAGGCAGUCUCGAUUUUUAUAAUGACGUGCCAUAUAUUAUUAGAAAGAUAAGACAUAGAGCUACAACUUUCUAUUUUUCCGUAACUUUAUGGAAGGUGUAACAACCCAAAUUUGGAAUUCAAAGUGAUUGAAGUGUUUCCCAAGCCAAGAGGGAGUCUUUCCUAGUUUGUCUCUAAUAUUCUUUAAGUCUUUGUUUCAUUUUAGAAGAGUUUUUACCAGACCUUCUAAAAUUUUUCUAGUAUAUAAUGCGUCCUAAGUUUUCUUUACAUAGUACCAUACAUACAAAUUCGUCCAAAACAGAGAAUAGGGUUUAGGAGCACAUCAUCGUUGUUAUUUUGGGUACUAUUGUUCUUUUUCAUGACUUUUAUUGUUAUUGUUAUGACUAUAUAACUUGACACCUUUGCUAGGGCAUGAUGAAACGCUAAUAUGAUGAUCUAGUUUUCUUAUUUUGCCUAUCUUAUGACUCUGAUAGGAUCAUAUUUAUGCGACUUAGUUAGCUUGUUUUCUUGCAUUUUCAUAGUUUAUUUGUGUUCGUUAGAGUGUUUAAGCUAUUUUCGUGUGUUUGUAGGUCCAAAUGACAAAGUUGGCAAGAAAGUGCAAAUUUGGGGCAUUUUGAGGCAGUUUUGGGCAUCAAAUGGAUGGCUUAUGAAUGGAGCAAGAGGGAUGGAUGAAUUUGAAGUUCAAGAGGCUAGGAAUGUGCUGAAAAGAUGAAGGAAAUAAAUCCAAGACAAAGAAGAUAAGGAAUCAGCUCAAAAGAAGGAACAUUAUCCAAAACCUUAUCCAACCUUAUAUUAUCCUUGCCUAAAUCUAACUUUAUCCUAUAUUCUAAGGGUUAAUUAUACAAAUAAAACACAUUAAAAUUGGUUUCUAGAAGCCCUUAUCCCCUCCUACAAAGGUGCCGCACCUUAUCCCUUGUUUUUCUAAGAAUCAGCAAAACAACCUUUCUACAAGGCCUUAUUCCUUGUCCUACAAAUCUGGCGCCCCAAACCUUUCUAGAAGUUCUAGAAACCUGAUUCUACCUUUCCUUGUUGGUUUCUGCCCUUCUAGAUGACCCUUUUCCUUCAAGGAUUGUGUUAUUAUUUUCCUAUACAAAUUAGGCCUUGAAAUCCUUUUCUUUUGCUACAUAGUUGCUGCACUUAAGCCCUAUAAAUACACAUAUAUGCCGCACCAUUCAGUUGACCACCCGCUACCACAAUUCACUACACCAUUCAUCAUAAAUCCCUCAUUGUGCCGCAGCUAAGGAAGGAGAAAAAAGGAAGAAACUUGGAGCCGUGCUUGCUAUUCAAGAAGAUUGGAUUGCUGGAGCGUUCUUAGGUGUAUUCUAUCUUUGAUUUCAAUGUUUAAUUUAAAUUAUCUUUGUUUAAUUGCGAGCACGAGGAACUAAUUUCUUUAUAGUUGGAGGUGAAUUAGAAGCUAUGAUUAUAUGUUUUAUAUGAAUUGAUUUCCUCCAGUUAUUGUUUCAUGAAUCGUGAAUAUGGUUUACUUAUCUGUUUUAUUAAGAACUUGUUCUUGUAUGUUGAUUAUGGUGGCCAACUUAGUUUGCGUGCUUGAAUUUGAUGCUAGAGUAUAAGGGAAUUUCACCUAAUCGUUACUGAUGCGUAAAAUAACUAAACACACAAAUUAACCCUCUUGUUGACAAUUGUAGUAUGGAUAAGUAGGGAUCGUUCUUAAACCGGGGAUUAGGAGGGAUUGCUAAAACACUCUAACUGACUCAAAUCUGUAAAACAAAGUUUAAAAUACUAAACUAGACUCAAAGAAUGCAAAACUAAACUCUAAAACACUAAAACAAACCAAAAGACUCAAAACAGCAAACAAACACUCAAAACUGCCUAAAAACCACUUUCUGGGCAGUUUUGGGACUCUAACACAACUUGGACGAAUUUUGGUUUUCUAAUGACCUAAAACACCUAAAAACAUAUUCUAAGACAAGUUCUAGUUAAUAUGACUCAAAGAAAUAAGAUGGGGUUGAUUUUGGACGAAAAUAAAUAAAACAAAGCAAGAACAAUGUAAACAGAUUUUUAGACAGAAUUAAGUAAAUUGAUGGGUUAUAGACUAACUAGAGGGUUCUUCUCCACACAUGAUACACUUGCAUUCAACUUUGAUUUCCAAUUGCUUCUUUCAAUAAACUAUGAAUCUCAACGCCCUAGGUUAACUGUGAUAGCACUUUUUUAACCUUCAAGUUUUCCUAAAGUUAGUGAAUUGGAUGGGAAUGCACAUGCAACAACUGAAAACAUUCUCUAAAAGUCCCUUACGUGAAAAGAACAAUAAAGGUACAAUCAAAGAUCAUUAAGCUUCAUGAAAACUAUAAGCAUUGACGAGGCAAUUGUUACUAUGAAAAGCAUGAAACGUUUGCCAAGAAUUCACUUAACACGAUCGUUUAUAAGCGACCUCCACUACUUGCAAACAUAAGGUUGUAACUAUUAGGUGAAACUUCCUUAUGUUUUAGCUUCAAAUUCCUGCACGAAAACUAAGUUGGCCACCUCAAUUAACACACAAAAAUAAGUCAUCAAUCAAACGGUUAAGCAAAUUGCAUUCACAAUUCAUAAAAUAAAAAUUAGACCUAAUCAAUUCAUCUUGCAAGCAUAAUCAUGGUAUCGAAUAACCCCCUAGCCAAAAAGGCUUAGUUCCUCAUGUUCACAAAACAAAGGAAAACAGAUUUAUACAUUGUAAAUAUAAGAAAGAGAAAACCUAAAUAUUCCAACGAUUCGAUGUUGAACAGCUAGAACCUUCAAGUACUUGUUCUUCCUCUCCUUUGCUGCGGCACAAGGGUUGGGGGUGAGUUUUGGGAGUUAUGGAUGAUGUAGAAUGAUAGGUUUAUGGGUUGGAUGAAUGUAGGGGUCGGCUAGGUAUGUUUCUGGGCAGAAAUUAGAGUGAAUGGUGGUAGAAUGGUGCGGUUGAGAGUGGAGGCUAGUUUCUGGCGUGAAUGGAUAGUAGAUGGAUCUUUUGUGGCUGCAAAAGAGAGUUUUAUUUAAAGGAUUUCAGGAAUUAAAACCCUAGGUUAUUUAGGUAAUCAGAAAUUAAGUCUAAGGCUUCUAGAAAUAAGAAACAAAAUCAGAAAAUUAAAGGAAAAGGUUAGGAAAGUGUUUGAAUGCGGCAAGGGUUAAAAAUAGAUUAGGAAAGUGUUUGAAUGCAAGGCAAGGAAGAGGAAAUACCAAGGGGGUGCGGCAAGGGUUCACAAUGUGCAAGGGAUGUGUAUUUUGAUGUCCUAGAAUGCUUAGGAUGCCUUCAAAGUUGAUAAAACUUAGGAACAUUUAGGAAAGGUGAAACUAAAGUAGGAAACCUUGGCUUAACUUUCCUAUUUCAAGUAGGAAUCCUUCUUGGAGUAGGAAUCCUUGUUCUUCUAGGAAUCCUCAUGUGAUUAGGAAUCCUUCUUCAAUUAGGAAUCCUUCGUUGAUUAGGAAUCCUAAUUUCUUCAAGUCUUCAAUUCAUCCAUUCCUUUUGCUCCAAAAGGCUCCAAAUUACAUCAUUUUGCACACUUCGGCUUUGGAAUCUGAAAACACACAAAAGUGACUUUAAACACUAAAAUAACUAAAGAAACACAACGUAAAUGCACGAGAACAAGCCAAUUAAGUCGCAUAAAUAUGCUCCUAUCAGUUAUGAACUUAUAUUCAUGAGUAGUAAAAGUCGCUAGUCACGAUUGUGUUAAGUAAAUCCUAGGCAAGAGUAACAUGCAGUUCAUAGUUAUAAUUGCCUUGUCAAUGCUUAUGAUUUCCAUGGAACUUAAUGAUCUUUGAAUGUAUCUUGAUGUGAAAAUUAACUUGACACACAAAUUAAACCCUCUUUUUGUCAAAUUGUAGCAAAGAUGUAAGUAGGGAUCGUUCUAGACCGGGGAUUAGGAGGGAUUGUUAAACGCUUGGAAACUGACUUAAACACUCAAAAACAAAGUUAAAAACACUAAACUAGACUCAAAGAAUGCAAAACUAAAAGUUAAAACACUUAAACAAACCUAAAAACCAAAACAGCAACUAGAAGGCUCAAAACUGCCUAAAAACCACUUUCUGGGCAGUUUUGAGCACCUACACUAAUUUGGACGAAAUUUGAUGAAAACUUGAAUCAAAAUACUUAGAAACACAAAUCAAAACACUUUCUAACUAAUCUAAGACUUCAAAUUAAAGGGGGAUUUUGUUUUGACGAAAAUUAAACUAAAGAAAACAGAUUGGAAAUAGGGCAGAUUGUAAAAACGAUUUUGGUGAAAUAGAUGGUUAAAAGGCUAGUUAGGAGGUUCUUCUCCACACAUGUCACACUUGCAAACAAAACGAUUUUCAGUUGUUCUUCCGAUAAACUAUGAAUACUCAACGCCCCAAGUUAACCGUGAAUUGCACUAAUUAACCCUCAGUUUUUCCACAAGUUAUUAAGUUGGAUGAUUGCAUACGACUGAUAGGAGUAUAUUUAUGCGCCUUAGUUAGCUAGUUCUUAUGCAUUGUUGUUAUGUUUUCUUCGUCAAAGUAGUCUUUUAAGCUACUUUCAUGUGUUUUCAGGGUUAAAGGACAUAUUACACGAAAUGAUGCAAUUUGGUGCUUUUGGAGCAAAAAGUGAGCUGGAAUGUGGUGUAUGCAAAUGGAGCACGAAGAAUGGACGAGUUUGAAGGUCGAGGGAGCUUAAGAAAUGAAGAAAUGAAAGUAAAGAACAAAGAAGUCGGAAUUGGCAACUAAAGUUUCUAAAGUUGGAAGUUUCUAUUCUUGGAGGUUUCCAUUUUCGAGAGUUUCUAUUCUUGACUUUGGGCUUUUGGAUGACCCAUCUUUGCCUCUUGGACCUAUGCCGCACCUAACCCUAACCCUAACCCUAGCCCACUUAAUCAGCCGCACUUAGGCCUUGUUCACAUGAAAAAAAUCUGAUUACUUACCCUAAGCCCAUGCCGCACCUAAUGUUCUAGAAACCCUAGUUUUUGGUGGAUUUCCUAACCCUAGCCGCACCUAAACCCUAGCCCAUUUGUCUAACCUGAUUUCUUUAGGGUUUGGCUGCCUAUAUAUAUGUGUUUUACCUCCCUUGGCCAGGGAGACCCUCUCUCCAUAUUCAGAAUUUUCGUCGUCCAUACUUUCAGCCACACCAUUCUACACAAAUCGGAAAAUCCCAAAAACCACAAUUCUAACCAUUUUUCUUCCUUGCCGCAAGCCAUCUACCACCAUCUUUCCAUAUUUUCUAACCUUCCCCCAUCCUUUUGCCGCAACACAUCCAUUCCACCAAAGAGAGGAGCUUUGCCGUGACCUUAGGAGAGGAGGAAGGCUUUGCCGCAUGCAAUCUUCAACCAUUGGAGUUUCUAGAGUUCUUUCUUCCCUUGCUUCUGUUUUCAUGUUUAAUUUAACUUGCUGUUCAAUUAUGUUAAACAUGUGGAACUAAUUUCUUUUUAGUUAGAGGUGAAUUUGAAGCCAUGGACAUAUGUUUUUAUAUGAUUUGAUUUCUUCCAAUUAUGAUUUCAGAAAUUGUGAAUGUGAUUUACUUAUCUAUUUGAUUGAUAACUUGUUUAUGUAUGUGGGUUGAGGGUCGACACUUAAUUUGCAUGCUUAAACUUGAUGCUAGGGUAUAAGGGAAUUUCACCUAAUCGUUAUUAACUUAUAUUCGUAAGUAGUGAAAGUCGCUAGUCACGAUUGUGUUAAGUAAAUCCUAGGCAAGAGUAACAUGCGUAUCCCAUAGUUAUGAAUGCCUCGUCAAUGCUUAUGAUGUCCAUUGAACUUAAUGAUCUUUGAUAUGUGUCUCUAUCAUGCGUAUUCCAUAGUUAGGGUCCUUGAUAAGAAUAAUUUGGUUGUAAUGCGUAUUCCAUUCAAUUCAAUGAAUCUAGGGAAAUCUGAGAAUUAAUUGGUGCAAUCUAGUUAAUUUGGGGCAUUGUCAUUCAUGGUUUGUUGAAAGAGUAAUUGGAGAUUGAGUUGUAUGCAUAUGUUCAUGUGUGGAUAAGGAACCCUCUAACUAGCUUCUCACCAUUCUAUUUCAUCACAAUCUGUUUUGCUUUAAGUUUGUUUUCAAAGUUUAAGUUGUAAAGUUUCAAUUUUCGUCAAAAUCAUUCCCCCAUUUAUUUUAAAGUGUUAGAUUAGUUAGAGAUCCAUUUAGUUGUGUUUUUAAGUGUUUUGAGUCAAGUCAUAGUCCAAAUUCGUCCAAACUAGUGUUAGGUACUCAAAACUGCCCAGAAAGUGGUUUUAAGGCAGUUUUGAGCCUUCUGGUUGCUGUUUUGAGUUUUUAGUUUGUGUAGGUGUUUUAAAUUCUAGUUUUGCAUUAAUUGAGUCUAGUUUAGUGUCCUACAUUAUAAUUUUAUGUUCUUGAGUCAGUUUUACAUUGAUUAGCAUCCCUAGUUAAUCCCCGGUCUAGAACGAUCCCUAUUUGCUCAUAUACUACAAUUGUCGUCCAUAGGGUUUAAUUUGUGUGUCAAGUUAAUUUUCACAUCAACGACAACCCAAAACAUUCCCUACAAGUUCCCUACAUGAAUUGCAUAAUAGAGAUACAAGCAAGAAUCAUUACGUUCUAUGAAAAACAUAAGCAUUGACGAAGCAUUUGUUACUAUGAAUUGCAUGAAACUUAUGCUAAGAAUUCAUUCAACGCGAUCGUUUUCAAGCGAUCUUUUCACUACUUUCUUGAUUAUUAUAAGAUUGUAACUAUUAGGUGAAACUCCCUCAUAAUCUAGCAUCAUAUUCAUGCAUGAAAACUAAGCGUGCACUCUCAAUCAACAUACACAAAUAAGUUAUCAAUCAAAUAGAUGAACGAAUUGAAUCCAUAACUUAUGAAAUAACAACUGAAUGUAAUCGAAUCAAAUUGCAAGCAUGUACAUGGUUUCGAAUCACCCCCCAACUAAGGGGGUUUAGUUCCUCAUACUCACAACACAAAGUUUAUUGAAUUGAAACAUCGAAGACAUAAGAAAGAUUACACCUAAAAUGCCAAAGAAUUCCACUUUGAAUUCUGCACAGCAAGCUCCUCUUUCUUCUUCUCCUUGCUGCGGCAGAGAGGGUUUAGGGGAUUUUUGGGUAGUUUUGGAUGAUUUUGGACGAGGGAGAAUGGUGGAAAAAUGUCUAGGAUGGGUGUAGGGCACAGCUAGGAAGGUUUGGGGUCAGAAAAUAUGGAGUUGGGUGAAGGUUGGGCUCGGCAAAGGUGAGGGACAGGUUCUGGCGUGAAUGGAGUUUUCUGGAUGUGUUUUUGGGUUUUGAAAGGUAGAUAGGAUAGUAUGGUGGUGCGGCAAGGUGUGGGAAUGGUUUAUGGAGGUGGAGAAUGGUGUAUGGAUGUGUGGAAUGGUGCUGGAAUGGAUGGAAGCUGCGGCAAAAGGUGGGAAAGGUUGCUGGAAUGGGUGGUGGCUGCGGCAAGGAGGGGAUUAGGGUGAUGGUGAUUUUUCUGAUUUGUGUAGAGGGAAUGAUGAUGUGCGGCUAGGGUUUAGAAAUAUAUAUAUAGGCAUUUAAAAACCCUAGCAAAUCAGAUUAGGGCCUCUAAAACACAAAUCCAUCAGAAAUUAGGUUGAAACAAUUAGACAUUUAGUGGGAAAAAGGGCCUAGGGUGCGGCUGGUAUGUGGGCUAAGGUUAGGGUUUCUAGAAACCCUAACAAGGCAAGGCAAAGUGAUUCUAGAGCGCCCAGGUGCGGCAUAGGAUGAAGGUCCAUAAGGAAUUUGGGUUUAGGUCAUCUAAAAGCCCAAAGCCAAGAAUAGAAACUCACGAAAAUGGAAACCUCCAAGAAUAGAAACUUCCAACUUUUUAGAAACUUUGGUUGCCAAUUCCGGUUUAGGAAAGAUCAACCCAAAAUGGAAACUUUUAGGCUUAGCUUUCCUACAUCAAGUAGGAAACCUCAAAUCUUCAACUCUUCAAUUCCAUCCCAACCUUGUGUUCCAAGCAUGUCCUUUUCAAUCCAAGCUCACUUUCUUGCUCCAAAAGCUCCAACUUGCAUCAUUUCAUGUAAUACGUCCUUUAACCUGAAAACACAUGAAAGUAGCUUAAAAGACUACUUUAACGAAGAAAACAUAACAAAAAUGCAUAAGAACUAGCUAACUAAGGCGCAUAAAUAUGCUCCUAUCAUAUCUCUAUCAUGCUGUUCAUAUAGGGAACUUGAGAAGAAUAAUUUGGUUGUGAUGCGUUGUCCAUUCAAUUCAAUGAAUUUAGGGAAAUCUGAGAGUUAAUUUGGGGCAUUGUCGUUCAUGGUUUAAAGAAACAAUAUUGAAAAUCGAUUUAUGUUGCAUAUGUUCAUUUGUGGAGAAAGACCCUCUAACUAGCCUAUUUCACCAUUCAAUUCAUCCAAUUUUAUACCUAGUUUGCUUUAGUUUACAAUCUGUUUAAUUUAAUUAAUUUUAUCCAAAUCAAUCCCCCUCUCAAUUAAGUGUCUUAGAUUAGUUAAAAUGGUGUUUCAAUCUGUCCAAAUUAGUGUUUUGAGUCUCACUAGUGUUAAAUUCGUCCAAAUAGUCCUUAGAACCUGUUUUGAGUCUUUUUAAGUUAGUUUUGCUGUUUUGAGUGUUUUAGGUCAGUUUAGAGUCUAUAGAGUCUAGUCUUGUGUUUUUAAGUCUAGUUUAAUGUUUUAGAGUUUAAUUUAAGUAGAUUAGCAGCCUGAUGCGAAAUAUAUAAGCACACAAAUUAAACCCUCUUUUUAUCAGUUGUAGCAAAGUAUGUAAGUAGGGAUCGUUCUAGACCGGGGAUUAGGAGGGAUUGCUAAAUCAUUUGAAAACUGACUCAAAUACGUAAAAACAAGUUUAAAACACUAAACUAGACUCAAAGAAUGCAAAACUAAACUUUAAAACACCAAAACAAACCAAAAGACUCAAAACUGCCUUAAAAACACUUUCUGGGCAGUUUUGACACCUAACACUAAAUUGGACGAAAUUGGGUUAUAACUUGACUCAAGACCCUUAAAAACACAAACUAAAUUAAUUUCUACUUUAUCUAACACUUUAAAGUAAAUGGGGAAUUGGUUUUGACGAAAAUUGAAAACAAAAACAAAACUUGUAAAUUGCACAGAUUCUAAAACGAAUUUGAGAAAAGUGAAUGGAUGGAAAGCUAGCUAAGGGGUUCUUCUCCACACAUGUCACACUUGCAUACAAAACGAUUUCCAAUUGCUUUUCGAUAAACCAUGAAUUCCCAACACCCCAGAUUAACCGUGAAUUGCACUAAUUAACCCUCAAAUUUUCCUUAAGUUAUUGAAUUGGAUGAAUUGCAUACGACAACCAAAGCAUUCCCCACAAGUUCCCUACAUGAAUUGCAUAAUAGAGAUACAAGCAAGAAUCCUUAAGUUCUAUGAAAAUCAUAAGCAUUGGUGAAGCACUCGUUACUAUGAAUUGCAGGAAACUUAUGCCAAGAAUUUACUUAACACAAUUGUGAUCAACAACCUUUACUACUUGUGAAUAUAAGUUCAUAACGAUUAGGUGAAACUCCCUUAUAUCCUAGCAUCAACCUUAUGCAUGA
rnacentral:lncRNA from 1 species